rnacentral:rRNA from 1 species
GGGUUGUGAGGUUAAGCGACUAAGCGUACACGGUGGAUGCCCUGGCAGUCAGAGGCGAUGAAGGACGUGCUAAUCUGCGAUAAGCGUCGGUAAGGUGAUAUGAACCGUUAUAACCGGCGAUUUCCGAAUGGGGAAACCCAGUGUGUUUCGACACACUAUCAUUAACUGAAUCCAUAGGUUAAUGAGGCGAACCGGGGGAACUGAAACAUCUAAGUACCCCGAGGAAAAGAAAUCAACCGAGAUUCCCCCAGUAGCGGCGAGCGAACGGGGAGCAGCCCAGAGCCUGAAUCAGUGUGUGUGUUAGUGGAAGCGUCUGGAAAGGCGCGCGAUACAGGGUGACAGCCCCGUACACAAAAAUGCACAUACUGUGAGCUCGAUGAGUAGGGCGGGACACGUGGUAUCCUGUCUGAAUAUGGGGGGACCAUCCUCCAAGGCUAAAUACUCCUGACUGACCGAUAGUGAACCAGUACCGUGAGGGAAAGGCGAAAAGAACCCCGGCGAGGGGAGUGAAAAAGAACCUGAAACCGUGUACGUACAAGCAGUGGGAGCACGCUUCGGCGUGUGACUGCGUACCUUUUGUAUAAUGGGUCAGCGACUUAUAUUCUGUAGCAAGGUUAACCGAAUAGGGGAGCCGAAGGGAAACCGAGUCUUAACUGGGCGUUAAGUUGCAGGGUAUAGACCCGAAACCCGGUGAUCUAGCCAUGGGCAGGUUGAAGGUUGGGUAACACUAACUGGAGGACCGAACCGACUAAUGUUGAAAAAUUAGCGGAUGACUUGUGGCUGGGGGUGAAAGGCCAAUCAAACCGGGAGAUAGCUGGUUCUCCCCGAAAGCUAUUUAGGUAGCGCCUCGUGAAUUCAUCUCCGGGGGUAGAGCACUGUUUCGGCAAGGGGGUCAUCCCGACUUACCAACCCGAUGCAAACUGCGAAUACCGGAGAAUGUUAUCACUGGAGACACACGGCGGGUGCUAACGUCCGUCGUGAAGAGGGAAACAACCCAGACCGCCAGCUAAGGUCCCAAAGUCAUGGUUAAGUGGGAAACGAUGUGGGAAGGCCCAGACAGCCAGGAUGUUGGCUUAGAAGCAGCCAUCAUUUAAAGAAAGCGUAAUAGCUCACUGGUCGAGUCGGCCUGCGCGGAAGAUGUAACGGGGCUAAACCAUGCACCGAAGCUGCGGCAGCGACACUAUGUGUUGUUGGGUAGGGGAGCGUUCUGUAAGCCUGUGAAGGUGUACUGUGAGGUAUGCUGGAGGUAUCAGAAGUGCGAAUGCUGACAUAAGUAACGAUAAAGCGGGUGAAAAGCCCGCUCGCCGGAAGACCAAGGGUUCCUGUCCAACGUUAAUCGGGGCAGGGUGAGUCGACCCCUAAGGCGAGGCCGAAAGGCGUAGUCGAUGGGAAACAGGUUAAUAUUCCUGUACUUGGUGUUACUGCGAAGGGGGGACGGAGAAGGCUAUGUUGGCCGGGCGACGGUUGUCCCGGUUUAAGCGUGUAGGCUGGUUUUCCAGGCAAAUCCGGAAAAUCAAGGCUGAGGCGUGAUGACGAGGCACUACGGUGCUGAAGCAACAAAUGCCCUGCUUCCAGGAAAAGCCUCUAAGCAUCAGGUAACAUCAAAUCGUACCCCAAACCGACACAGGUGGUCAGGUAGAGAAUACCAAGGCGCUUGAGAGAACUCGGGUGAAGGAACUAGGCAAAAUGGUGCCGUAACUUCGGGAGAAGGCACGCUGAUAUGUAGGUGAAGUCCCUCGCGGAUGGAGCUGAAAUCAGUCGAAGAUACCAGCUGGCUGCAACUGUUUAUUAAAAACACAGCACUGUGCAAACACGAAAGUGGACGUAUACGGUGUGACGCCUGCCCGGUGCCGGAAGGUUAAUUGAUGGGGUUAGCGGUAACGCGAAGCUCUUGAUCGAAGCCCCGGUAAACGGCGGCCGUAACUAUAACGGUCCUAAGGUAGCGAAAUUCCUUGUCGGGUAAGUUCCGACCUGCACGAAUGGCGUAAUGAUGGCCAGGCUGUCUCCACCCGAGACUCAGUGAAAUUGAACUCGCUGUGAAGAUGCAGUGUACCCGCGGCAAGACGGAAAGACCCCGUGAACCUUUACUAUAGCUUGACACUGAACAUUGAGCCUUGAUGUGUAGGAUAGGUGGGAGGCUUUGAAGUGUGGACGCCAGUCUGCAUGGAGCCGACCUUGAAAUACCACCCUUUAAUGUUUGAUGUUCUAACGUUGACCCGUAAUCCGGGUUGCGGACAGUGUCUGGUGGGUAGUUUGACUGGGGCGGUCUCCUCCUAAAGAGUAACGGAGGAGCACGAAGGUUGGCUAAUCCUGGUCGGACAUCAGGAGGUUAGUGCAAUGGCAUAAGCCAGCUUGACUGCGAGCGUGACGGCGCGAGCAGGUGCGAAAGCAGGUCAUAGUGAUCCGGUGGUUCUGAAUGGAAGGGCCAUCGCUCAACGGAUAAAAGGUACUCCGGGGAUAACAGGCUGAUACCGCCCAAGAGUUCAUAUCGACGGCGGUGUUUGGCACCUCGAUGUCGGCUCAUCACAUCCUGGGGCUGAAGUAGGUCCCAAGGGUAUGGCUGUUCGCCAUUUAAAGUGGUACGCGAGCUGGGUUUAGAACGUCGUGAGACAGUUCGGUCCCUAUCUGCCGUGGGCGCUGGAGAACUGAGGGGGGCUGCUCCUAGUACGAGAGGACCGGAGUGGACGCAUCACUGGUGUUCGGGUUGUCAUGCCAAUGGCACUGCCCGGUAGCUAAAUGCGGAAGAGAUAAGUGCUGAAAGCAUCUAAGCACGAAACUUGCCCCGAGAUGAGUUCUCCCUGACUCCUUGAGAGUCCUGAAGGAACGUUGAAGACGACGACGUUGAUAGGCCGGGUGUGUAAGCGCAGCGAUGCGUUGAGCUAACCGGUACUAAUGAACCGUGAGGCUUAACCUUACAACGCCGAAGCUGUU